rnacentral:rRNA from 1 species
AUUGAACGCUGGCGGCAGGCUUAACACAUGCAAGUCGAGCGGAGAUGAGGUGCUUGCACCUUAUCUUAGCGGCGGACGGGUGAGUAAUGCUUAGGAAUCUGCCUAUUAGUGGGGGACAACAUUCCGAAAGGAAUGCUAAUACCGCAUACGUCCUACGGGAGAAAGCAGGGGAUCUUCGGACCUUGCGCUAAUAGAUGAGCCUAAGUCGGAUUAGCUAGUUGGUGGGGUAGAGGCCUACCAAGGCGACGAUCUGUAGCGGGUCUGAGAGGAUGAUCCGCCACACUGGGACUGAGACACGGCCCAGACUCCUACGGGAGGCAGCAGUGGGGAAUAUUGGACAAUGGGCGGAAGCCUGAUCCAGCCAUGCCGCGUGUGUGAAGAAGGCCUUUUGGUUGUAAAGCACUUUAAGCGAGGAGGAGGCUACUUAGAUUAAUACUCUAGGAUAGUGGACGUUACUCGCAGAAUAAGCACCGGCUAACUCUGUGCCAGCCGCCGCCGUAACAC